GCCAGCAGCUAUUGUAUAUCACCCUGCAGCUCUCAACAGGCUUUCCCAGUGAAGCUCAGCAGGGGUGAGCCUGGUCAGUACCUGGAUGGGAGACCUCCUGGGAAGCUAUGGUUGCUGCUGGAA
rnacentral:rRNA from 1 species